ACUGGGAGGGAGACUUUAUUUGAGGCCAGCUCUUAAAAGCUUCCGUCACGCGUGAAUGUACCUACCGGUGUUUACUGACGACACAACGCCUUCCUUUGUCUUGUUACCUGACCAAGAGAAGCAAAGAGAAAGUUUCAACCAAUCCACUUUCUAAAUAAACGGAUUCACGAAGCAGCCCCUCGCCACAUGCCGGCCUUAUGCCCGCCCGCGGACCCGCACUGCUGCAUCGUACACACUCCCGCAAAUCGACGCAACGAUACCGCUUCUUUUUCCUCCGCUCGCGUGUUCGUGUGGCAUUGCCGAAAGACGAGCAUCAAAGCAUGCGGAUUGACUGUUGUAAGCAUAUAAUUGGUGCAUUUUGCAUGUAAUCCCCCCCCACCCCACCCGCUUUUUUUUACCAGUGGGAGAGGGGCCGAGUGGAAAGUGAUAAGUCAUCGGAGCGGCACGCAAGCGACACAUGGAUGAGGUGACGCAGUGCCUAUCUCCCUCAUCUUCACGUUGUAACCCACACUUGUGUGCCCCCCCUCCUUCAAGAGAAGGCCAAGAAAGCCUCCAUGUAACCUUGAGAGCCUGUCAAAUCCCGCAAGCGAGACGUUAACCAGCCUCUGCAGCACCAUUGGCGUUGUCUUACCGACAUACAUCACCCCUUCCUUGGUCUUGGCCGCAGCCUCCUCCAUGCCGGCUUUGGUCUUCUCAGCGGCAGCCACCACCCCCUCCUUGGCCAUGGAGAAGCCCUUCAUGAGUGCAUCCAUCCUGAGGCGGGACGACACGGCUGAGCUUUCCUGCUGCGGACGCUCGGGCGAGAUGCUUGACGG